rnacentral:misc_RNA from 1 species
AACCUAGCACACCUGCGGUGUGUACCUGCGGAAGGAUCAUUACAACAAGGUUCCCUGGCCCUCGAAGCUUCGGCGGAGGGGCGCUACAGCCUGACUUUAUACCCACCCUUUGCCUAUGUGUACCCCUAUUGCUUCCCUCGGCGGGUUCGCCCGCCGACAGGAACCAACUAAACCCUUUGCAUUAUACAUUUAACACUUCCGAUACAAAACUAAAUUAUUACAACUUUUAACAACGGAUCU